rnacentral:tRNA from 1 species
AAGAAUGGAAUAUAUUUCAGUUACGUUGAAAGAGACCUUAUAGGCAUUCUUU